rnacentral:lncRNA from 1 species
CAGAACUCAUAUGGCAGGCCAAAACCUGAGAAGAUUCCAUGCAGGAAGUGCCCUGUCUGACAAUUUGUUGUCCUUCUAGGGCAUCUCUAUCAAAAAUACAGCAUCUCUGCAGUAACGUGACAUUUUCUAAGGCUUUCAUUGGCUUUCAGAAGGCGCCAGAAAGUGGAAUGAGAGCUCUGCAGUCUCUGGGCGAAAAAAGCAGGAGAUUUUUUACUACAUCAGUGAAGCACCUGGACAUCCACAUCAAGGACUGUCAUCCCUGCCUAACAUCAAACCUCAGAGGAGAGGAAUGGAGGGAAGAAUGGAUAGAAGGAUGUAGGGAUGAAGGGAUGGAAAAAGGGUUCAGAGAGAGGGCAAGUUAAAAUAACAUACACCUGCAUACAAAGAAACACCUGCAUGCACACCGAUAGACAAACAAACAGACACACACACAGACACACAGAGCCAAAGUAAGACAUACAUUGUCGUGGUAACAGCCAAACAAAGUUUAGCCGCUCUAAAGGUCACCAGACAGUUAAUUCAUCCCAUUUUUCUUCCAUAACUCCGCACUCUGUUCCUCUCCCUCCCUCUCUAUUUUGAUCUCUCAGCUUUAAUAGAUUGCUCCCUCGCUUGUUUACCUGACUGCUGUCUUGUUUCAUUUCCCUCUCUGUUAAUCUUGUUCCCCCUGUCCCUCUUUCUUCUGACCUCUUAUGUCAUCUCCUCUUAGACUUGCUCAUCUCUUGUUCACUGACGUACACUCCUCCAGGUGUCUCUCUCACUUUCUCUCUCCUUCUCUUUACCCCCCCCUCUCUUUUUUUUAAGGCCAUCUCAGCCCUCUGGCUCACAUCCAUCUGAGAGGAGGCAGAGGGGAAUGAGGACUGGUUCUGUCCCUCAACAGCAAGCAUCUGUUUCACUCUGGUGCCAUCUAGUUGACCAGACUAAAACUGCAGCAGACUAUAUUCUCUCUCGCUCUCGCUCUCUCUCUCUCACUCACACACAAACACGUGCACAUGCACACAUGAACACAUGCAAAUGCAAGCAUUUAUUCAAAACAACAGCUGACUCGUAGAGUGGUUAGCAGUUGCAGUGGAAAUAUGUAGAAAAACCUGUCUGAGAAGGAAGAGAAUAGGAGAGGGAGAGUUUGGUGAGUGAUUAGGGGGUGAAUGGAUAAACUGUAGUAGUCAAUGGGCCACCCACCAAUAAAUGCUUCAGAAAAGGCAUUGCAAAGUUUCAACAUAAUUACGUAGAUAAUUUAAUGGAAAUUAACACUGUGUGGUUUAAUAAUGGUACAAGUUGCAGAUUAAUUAAAUAUUAUAAAUCAAAAGGUAACAUUUUUAAAUCAUAGCACAUUUUGGGUAAUUUCCCCUAAUGCAUUUUGGGUAAUUUCCCCUAGCAACAUUAUGAGGUUGCUAUUUUACACCUAGGUUACAAUUGUUAAACAUGUUCCAUUGUCCAUGCUUGCAGGAAGCAAUUUAAGUGAAGGACCAGAGGAAUCCUGAAAUAACACGAGAUUAGAAGCUGUUGAAAGGUGCUAAAAGCAUUUUUCUCAGAUGCCAGAAUAGCAGUCUAUGCAGCUUUCUGGACCUUGAAUGUUUUGAGAGCUGUUGUUAGCUAGCAAAUUGCUGUCUUUAGUUUGGAUAGCAGGCAAACACAAUGGUGGCCCUUGUAGGCUAAAUAUAUCUGGCAAAAUGUCUUAUAUUAACUGAGAACACC